AAACUUUUAACAACGGAUCUCUUGGUUCUGGCAUCGAUGAAGAACGCAGCGAAAUGCGAUAAGUAAUGUGAAUUGCAGAAUUCAGUGAAUCAUCGA
rnacentral:rRNA from 1 species